rnacentral:rRNA from 1 species
AAAUUGAAGAGUUUGAUCAUGGCUCAGAUUGAACGCUGGCGGCAGGCCUAACACAUGCAAGUCGAACGGUAACAGGAAGAAGCUUGCUUCUUUGCUGACGAGUGGCGGACGGGUGAGUAAUGUCUGGGAAACUGCCUGAUGGAGGGGGAUAACUACUGGAAACGGUAGCUAAUACCGCAUAAUGUCGCAAGACCAAAGAGGGGGACCUUCGGGCCUCUUGCCAUCGGAUGUGCCCAGAUGGGAUUAGCUAGUAGGUGGGGUAACGGCUCACCUAGGCGACGAUCCCUAGCUGGUCUGAGAGGAUGACCAGCCACACUGGAACUGAGACACGGUCCAGACUCCUACGGGAGGCAGCAGUGGGGAAUAUUGCACAAUGGGCGCAAGCCUGAUGCAGCCAUGCCGCGUGUAUGAAGAAGGCCUUCGGGUUGUAAAGUACUUUCAGCGGGGAGGAAGGGAGUAAAGUUAAUACCUUUGCUCAUUGACGUUACCCGCAGAAGAAGCACCGGCUAACUCCGUGCCAGCAGCCGCGGUAAUACGGAGGGUGCAAGCGUUAAUCGGAAUUACUGGGCGUAAAGCGCACGCAGGCGGUUUGUUAAGUCAGAUGUGAAAUCCCCGGGCUCAACCUGGGAACUGCAUCUGAUACUGGCAAGCUUGAGUCUCGUAGAGGGGGGUAGAAUUCCAGGUGUAGCGGUGAAAUGCGUAGAGAUCUGGAGGAAUACCGGUGGCGAAGGCGGCCCCCUGGACGAAGACUGACGCUCAGGUGCGAAAGCGUGGGGAGCAAACAGGAUUAGAUACCCUGGUAGUCCACGCCGUAAACGAUGUCGACUUGGAGGUUGUGCCCUUGAGGCGUGGCUUCCGGAGCUAACGCGUUAAGUCGACCGCCUGGGAGUACGGCCGCAAGGUUAAAACUCAAAUGAAUUGACGGGGGCCCGCACAAGCGGUGGAGCAUGUGGUUUAAUUCGAUGCAACGCGAAGAACCUUACCUGGUCUUGACAUCCACGGAAGUUUUCAGAGAUGAGAAUGUGCCUUCGGGAACCGUGAGACAGGUGCUGCAUGGCUGUCGUCAGCUCGUGUUGUGAAAUGUUGGGUUAAGUCCCGCAACGAGCGCAACCCUUAUCCUUUGUUGCCAGCGGUCCGGCCGGGAACUCAAAGGAGACUGCCAGUGAUAAACUGGAGGAAGGUGGGGAUGACGUCAAGUCAUCAUGGCCCUUACGACCAGGGCUACACACGUGCUACAAUGGCGCAUACAAAGAGAAGCGACCUCGCGAGAGCAAGCGGACCUCAUAAAGUGCGUCGUAGUCCGGAUUGGAGUCUGCAACUCGACUCCAUGAAGUCGGAAUCGCUAGUAAUCGUGGAUCAGAAUGCCACGGUGAAUACGUUCCCGGGCCUUGUACACACCGCCCGUCACACCAUGGGAGUGGGUUGCAAAAGAAGUAGGUAGCUUAACCUUCGGGAGGGCGCUUACCACUUUGUGAUUCAUGACUGGGGUGAAGUCGUAACAAGGUAACCGUAGGGGAACCUGCGGUUGGAUCACCUCCUUA